rnacentral:rRNA from 1 species
GUGUCAGCAGCCGCGGUAAAACCAGCACCUCAAGUGGUCAGGAGGUUUAUUGGGCCUAAAGCAUCCGUAGCCUGAUCUAUAAGUUUCCGGUUAAAUCCACAUGCUCAACAUUUGGGCUGCCGGAAAAACUGUAGAUCUAGGGAGUGGGAGAGGUAGACGGUACUCGGUAGGAAGGGGUAAAAUCCUUUGAUCUAUUGAUGACCACCAGUGGCGAAGGCGGUCUACCAGAACACGUUCGACGGUGAGGGAUGAAAGCUGGGGGAGCAAACCGGAUUAGAUACCCGGGUAGUCCCAGCUGUAAACGAUGCAGACUCGGUGAUGCAUUGGCUUGUGGCCAGUGCAGUGCCGCAGGGAAGCCGUUAAGUUUGCCGCCUGGGAAGUACGUACGCAAGUAUGAAACUUAAAGGAAUUGGCGGGGGAGCACCACAAGGGGUGAAGCCUGCGGUUCAAUUGGAGUCAACGCCAGAAAUCUUACCCGGAGAGACAGCAGAAUGAAGGUCAAGCUGAAGACUUUACCAGACAAGCUGAGAGGUAGUGCAUGGCCGUCGCCAGCUCGUGCCGUGAGAUGUCCUGUUAAGUCAGGUAACGAGCGAGACCCUUGCCUCUAGUUGCCACCAUUGCUCUCUGGAGCAGUGGGGCGAAUUAGCGGGACCGCCGCAGUUAAUGUGGAGGAAGGAAAGGGCUACGGCAGGUCAGUAUGCCCCGAAACUCUGGGGCCACACGCGGGCUGCAAUGGUAGCGACAAUGUGUUCCAAACCCUAAAGGGGGAGGUAAUCAUCAAACGCUACCACAGUUAUGACUGAGGGCUGCAACUCGCCCUCACGAAUAUGGAAUCCCUAGUAACUGCGUGUCAUUACCACGCGGUGAAUACGUCCCUGCUCCUUGCACACACCGCCCGUC